rnacentral:rRNA from 1 species
UGGCUGUCGGUCAGCUCGUGUCGUGAGAUGUUGGGUUAAGUCCCGCAACGAGCGCAACCCUUGUCUUUAGUUGCCAUCAUUAAGUUGGGCACUCUAGAGAGACUGCCGGUGACAAACCGGAGGAAGGUGGGGAUGACGUCAAGUCAUCAUGCCCCUUAUGACCUGGGCUACACACGUGCUACAAUGGGCAGUACAACGAGAAGCGAACCCGCGAGGGUAAGCGGAUCUCUUAAAGCUGCUCUCAGUUCGGACUGCAGGCUGCAACUCGCCUGCACGAAGCUGGAAUCGCUAGUAAUCGCGGAUCAGCACGCCGCGGUGAA